rnacentral:rRNA from 1 species
CCCUUAGAUGUUCGGGGCCGCACGCGCGCUACACUGAAGGAAUCAGCACGUCUUUCUCCUUGUCCGAAGGGACUGGGUAACCCGCUGAACCUCCUUCGUGCUAGGGAUUGGGGCUUGUAAUUCUUCCCCAUGAACGAGGAAUUCCCAGUAAGCGCGAGUCAUAAGCUCGCGUUGAUUACGUCCCUGCCCUUUGUACACACCGCCCGUCGCUACUACCGAUUGGAUGGUUUAGUGAGAUCCUCGGAUUGGUCCCGGCGCGGCCUCUGGUCGUGCCGGAGUGCCGAAAAGAAUGUCGAACUUGAUCAUCUAGAGGAAGUAAAAGUCGUAACA